rnacentral:rRNA from 1 species
UACGUAGGGGGCAAGCGUUGUCCGGAAUUAUUGGGCGUAAAGCGCGUGUAGGCGGCCAGAUAAGUCCGCUGUGAAAUCUCGAGGCUCAACUUCGAGCUGUCGGUGGAAACUGUCGGGCUCGAGUCCGGAAGAGGCGGAGUGGAAUUCCUGGUGUAGCGGUGAAAUGCGCAGAUAUCAGGAAGAACACCCGUGCGAAGGCGGCUCUCUGG